rnacentral:misc_RNA from 1 species
GUAGGUGAACCUGCGGAAGGAUCAUUACAGAGUAUCAUGCCCUCACGGGUAGAUCUCCACCCUUGAAUAAUAUACCUUCGUUGCUUUGGCAGGCCGCACUCGUGCCAGAGGCUUCGGCUUCUGAGUGCCUGCCAGAGGACCACAACUCUGUUUUUAGUGAUGUCUGAGUACUAUAUAAUAGUUAAAACUUUCAACAACGGAUCUCUUGGUUCUG